rnacentral:tRNA from 1 species
GAGGGUAUAGCUCAGUGGUAGAGCACAUGCUUAGCAUGCACGAAGUCCGCAGUUCAAUCCCCAGUACCUCCA